UGGCGUGGCAGGAACGUCGAAAGCUAGCAACGUAUCCUCCCCUCCAUUUCUCUCUUACUCUUAUUCUCUCUCUCUCUCUCUCUCUCUUUCUCGCUCUUUCGUUCAGUCUAUCUCUAUCUCAUUCUCCCCGCCACUACUCGCUUUAGACUACGUUAAAAUGUCGCGAUCCAGAGCUCUCGCGAACGACUUGACGAGAGAAAUCCCCUCUCUUGCUCACUAAACAGUCACAACUCGAUUUAUCGGAGCGCGCGUCUUUCGGAAUAUCGACAAAAGCUUCUCCUUCUUGCCACUGUUCGGCAAUAUCGCUACUAUCGCAAAUGUGUACGCCAGAUAAAGCAGGGCGACGUUUCAUAAGAGACAAAAUAGAAACGACCGUCUGUUAACCUGUUUUCCUCCUUGUCUUUUCUUUCUCUUCUUUUAUUUUCGUUCUCCGUUCAUCACGUCGCCAUUGAAACAUCAGCAACAAACUUAACAGCUGCCCUUUUCCUCGUACCAUCCUCUUUUUUUCGAUACUUCCUUCCUUCGAACGGCGACUCCUCGCGGAAUUUCUCUCAAACAUUUCUUAAACCGUUCUCCUUUGACGAUAAUUCGACACGAUCAAAUACGCAACACUCCGUUCGGGACUUUCAUAAUCUGGACCAAUCCGUUUGCGAGAAUAUUGUUUGUGACGUACGCAAACAAACUAUUAUACCGAUUGGUAGAAAUUUCAGAACCAUUUAGAACUAGUUCAAGGUUUCUUUCGUUUACUUCUUGACAAGAAAAAAUUACAUAUCGAGAGAAAGAGAAAGGUAAUGGAAACGAGGAUCGCGACACUAUUUAUAAUUCAAGUAGCAUUUCGAAGAACGAGGCUUUCAUCGAAAGAAUUUACGUGUACGCAUUGUUGGCGCGUUUUAUUUGUAUAGAUAUAAUAAAAGAAGAAGGAGAGGAAGAAGAAAAAACAGACAAACAAACAAAAAUAUAUAAAUAAAUAAAUAAAAAAAAGUAAAAAAAAAAUCCGAAAGGAACAUUUCCGCGGCACCACAAAGAGAUUCACGCGUCCUGCGCGCGAGGAGGGCCACGGAGGAGAUGCGGACGAACAGCUGCUAUUUCACCUGUUCGAUAUAUUAUUUAAAUGCUUCACCUGCCGCGAUCUCGAGAUACCGCGAGAUAAGCGACCAGCAUUUCCUGCUUUCUUUAAGGAUGUCCCGCACGAUUCUUGGUAUCUCUCCUUAAAAGAAAACGAGAAAGAGAGGGAGAGAGAGAAAGAGAGAGAAGAGAGAAUCUUACGAAAUUCGUCUUGAGAAAGUUUCUUUUUUCUACAUUUUCUUUGCCAUUUAUUUUAUAUGUUAUAAUAUUUUAUUUACAGAAAGUAUAAAACCUAAACUUAUUAUUAUUAUUCACGAUAUAUGUACAUUUUCCUCAUUAUGAACGUAAAGAAAAUUAACACGAUUGUCCGUUCCAGCAAUAAUUGGACUCAUCUUUUGUACAUAUUCUACGAAUAGAUCUAUAUCCAACGAACCAACCUUAUGGUUUCUUCCGAAUUUUUUAAAAACUUGAAUAUCAUCUCCACCCUUAUAUAUAAAAGAUGGAACUACGAUUCUGUACCAUUCAUCCUCUAAAAGGUUCUCGUAUCUUGGUAUCUCGCAAGCACGACAUCUAUCAUAAAUAACAAAGUUACGUAUAAAUGUAUAAAUAUGAUAUGCAAGUAAUAAGAGAAAUAAUAUUUCAAUGUUUAUAUUCGUUGUAUAAAUAAUUACCUGACUUUGACGUCGACCAAUCUACUAGGUGCAUCUUUCGUCAUAUUAUAAAUAACUUUCAGCCCGGACCAAACCAUAAUUCUUUCUUUUUCUAAUAACUAAAAAUGCAUGAUUUGUUUUAUUGUUUAUGCUUAAUAAACAAUCCUUUAUACAAGAUUAAUUUUAAUUAGACUAAUAGUCUUCAAUAUAGCAUUUUAGUGUUCAUUAUUAUUGUUAUCAGUAAGCGAUUAUUACAAAUAAAUUCACAUGAAUUUAACGAUUAAUGUAUACUGAUAAUUUCUCUAUCAAAUAGCUCUGAUAACAUUCUGAGUUUUAAUACAUAUCCCAUAGAGAGUAUUAAUGUAUAAAUAUAGACAAAAUAUUACAUAUUUAAUAGAGCUCCCAGUUAUCUCGACAGUGUCCCAGGUAUUUUCAAAAGGUUGAACCAUCAGUAAAUCACCGUAGGUAAUAUUAACAGCGAAAUCUUCGAUAGAGGCACGAAUUCCACCUGUAUUGGUGCAAGAUAUAGCUGCAUAAGUCCAAUAAGUUUCAUUCUCGGCCAGAUCUACGAACUAAAAUCGAAAGAGAAAGUGAAAAAAAAUUCUUUUUUUUUUUCUCAUCAACUUCUUUCUGCGAGAUAAAAGAAUUUUGAUACAUGUAAAGGUAUAUAUCGAAAAUAUAUUUAAUAUAAAAAAAUUUUUACCGCAUCGAUCAUCGCAUCUGUUAUAAAGUUACCCAAGUUGCAUUGUUUUCCUUUACAUUUGGAAUCGAGGAAAACUUUAGUCUUGCCUACAUGUUUCCAUGCGAGUGCAUCGACAUCCUUUUGCCAAGGAACUAGAGCUUUCAAAAUAUCUGGAUCUAUAUGAAAAAUGAAUUUUUAUUUAUCAGACUUCCCUUUUCUUUUUUUUAAAUUUUUCCUUUCUCUCCGACUCACCUUCCUCGAUAGAAUAAUCCAAAAGAAUUGGAUUUCCUUCCCAGUCGACAACCUCUCCUUGAUCGUCAAACCAAACUGUCAAGUUGCCGAGAUAUCUAAAAAAUAAUUUAAUAGAAUAUUUAUCUUUCAGAUUCUUUAAUAGCAUAGGGGAAUGAAUAAAUUUUUUAUUUAAUUAAUAUUAAAAUGAUUUACUGAGUUAAUAUAAAAAAUAAUCAAUAGUGUUAAUUUCUCAUCAUAUGUUUCGUGAUAAGAUCGAUCGAUAUUUCAUUAGGAAAAUGAAUAUAGUGAUUACAUACUUGGUAAAAGCAGCUGCUUGUACAAUGAGCACUGUUCUCUUUGUAUUUUUUUGGGUUACUAUUACAGGAUAUUCAUCCUCGGGCGUAUCAAUGAAAGGCGGUGGUCCUAAUUAAAAUAAAUAUUUUAAUGUAAUUGAAAGUUUAUAUAGAAACAUAAUAAAAGCCUUUUUCUCGCUUUUUCGACAAACCAGAAUAUAAGAAAGUAUGCGAAUGUCCUCCAACAAUGACGUCAAGAAGAGGACAAUUGGCAGCCAUCACUCUAUCUAUAUUCAAGCCACAGUGACUUAAAGCAAUAAUGAUGUCCACUCCUUGGGCUUUAAGCUUCUCGGCUUCCUCAUUCACAGAGUCUACUUCGUCCAGAAACCUCAAUUUUUCGGUGUCUGCUAUAGUCUAAUAAAUCGUGGAUCCUUAGAUAUAUACAUAUAUACAUGCAUACAUAUAUAUAUAUAUAUAUAUAUAUAUAUAUAUUUCGAAUUAUUUUUCUUUUAUAAUUUAACAAAGAAUAUACCAACAUUCGUAGUUGAAAUAAUGACCCCGAUUACUCCGAUCUUUCUGCCUCCUCUCUCGAUGAUCGUACUAUUUUGAUAAAGACCCUGAAAGUAGAACAGAUUAUAGAAAGGAUAUAUGAAGAAAAAGAAAGAGAGAGAAAGAGUAUCGUGUAAAAAAUGAUCAUGCCACAAACUUGAAUAGUAGGCUCUUCUCUAUCGUCGAUAUUGGUCACCACAACCGGUGCUUUGACAGCCUUUAAAAAAGGUACAAGACCAGCGAUUUUAUUGUCGAACUCAUGAUUUCCAAUCGUCUACAAAUAAAAGAUAAUUAUAUUAUAGUUAGAUUGAAAUUUUCUUUCAGUAAGUGUUCGUGAAGUUUACCAUGGCAUCAUGAGGUAACAUAUUCAUAAAUGUAGCCGUCACAUUCCAUCGAUGAACGUUGUACCAUAAAGUACCUUGGUAAUGGUCGCCAGCAUUCAGAAAAAUAGCAUUUGGCCGUUCUUUCUUUAAUUGAUUGACAGCAGUAUAUACUCUAGAGAUUCCACCGACACAAUCUUUUUCUUGUCCCACAUGACAGGUACCAGAAGUUGGAUUGGUCUGUUGAAAUCUUACAAAAUGUUUUUUUCUUUUUCUUUUUUUUUUCUUUUCAAAUUCAGGCAUUCUCAUUGCUUUUUAAUACGUAUUAAAAAUUUAAAAAAAAAUUGUAAGAUAACUUCCGAAUGUACGAUCAUACGUAUCACGGAAAAUAACACAAGUUGAAUCAAUAUCUUAUCUAGUAUCGUCCUUGAAGAUUCCACUUCGGUUCUCCAAUUUAAUACGACACACUAUAUUGUUAUAUGAAGAUCUUGUGUUAUGAGUAAGGCUAACGUAUGUUACGUAAUUCUUAAUAUUAUUUUUAUGACGACAAAUUAAUUAUUUCUAUAUUCAUUCUCGAUUGGUUAUGUAAGAGAUAAAUGUCUAUAUAAAAUACACGAAAGUAAUCAACAAAUUUUUACGUAUAUAUGAAACAAGAAACAACCAAACAAACGAACAAGCACGAUCGUUCCGUAAUUAGACAGAUAAAUAUUUGUAUACAUUAUAUUAGUUCAUACCUCGCAUGGAAAUCAUUCAAAUGUAUAAUAGACAACUCGAAGAAAUCGGUUUGUCCAGGAUAGAUGAGUCCUCGACCGGUAAAACCCAAACAUGUUUGGGAGACAUAAGACAACACGGCUAUCAACAAUAAAGUAUACAUGUUGUGUACGUUCGAAAGUUGUAUAACUGUAAAACAAAUAGAGCAGUUUGCUUUAUAGGAGUUUACAAAUUGUACAAAGCCUACAAGUAAUGUCGCAACAAAAUUUUCAAGUUAUUUUAUAACUUAAAUAACUGAUUAGAUUAAGUGAAACAAUAAAAGGAAUUGAUUGUGGUGACUAAAUAUAACUAAACUCGUUACAAAUAUAAAUGACGAAAGUUGGAGGAAAAAAGUUGGAGGAAAGAAACAAAGAAGUUAUAAUCGGUAUGAUUCCAAUCAGAAGAAGGAAUAUUAUUGUUCGUAAGAAACUUAUGAGUUUCAACUAUCGAACGCGAUGCUUUGGGCACGAUUGACGAGAUUCAAGGUGAAAAAAAAAAUAAAUUCUUUCGAAUUUCUAAGGAAAUAAAAGAGGAGAAAACUUAAUGUUUUGUGGAGGAACUUAAACUGACUUGUACGUUUAUAUCCUUCAUAUAGAGAACAUGCCAGUCGUAAAUCACCUGUCAGCACCGAAUGUUCGUCGAGAACUGCUAACAACGAUCUGUCUUUGCAAUCCAUGACAAAGCAAGCGUAUCCAUUAUCACAAAUAUUCACUACAUAAAAUGCCUCGCAAUUAUCUAUAUGCUAUUAAAUUUAUCUCGAAAACAUUUCAAUCUUUAUACGUAUACGAUAAUGAUUAUUAUCUCUUUCUCACGUUCUUUUGUUGAAGAUUAUUUAUCGUGCAUUUGAAAAUUCUUUAAUAAUUUACAUAUCAUUUUAUUGGAAAAUAAAUUUUAUUUAACGAUCGAGAAUAAUUUCUUGAAGACCACGUGAACGUAUUAAUUGCUUCUAUCGUUGACCGAUUCUCUCAUUUCCUUUUCAAGCCAGCGUCAAUGUAGAUGUCGAAACCAGAAAUUUACGCGUAGACGUUGAGCUGCCAAUCAAGUUUCUACUGUGAUCGACGCGUUCAGUGAACGGAUUCAUAUUUAGAUACAUACGUUACAACAUUUUCAAAUAGUGAAACUGUGUGUUUGUUCUCUUCAUUUAUAAACAUUUAAUAUCUAGAAGAAGAGAAUAGAAAAAGAAGGAUUAAUAAAAACUAACGAUAUUGUGUAUUCCACACGCGAGUUUCAGGAUAGAUAUGGUCACGUGACUAUUUGAAUUCAUUAAACCAGUUUAAGAGAUUGGCAUUAAUAAUCCAGGAAUUUAUCACAUUACUACGCGCAUUAGAAAAUUCAUAAAAUUGAAAUGUACUAUCCGAAGUAUAUCAUUUGGUCACGAUCAAUAGAACUGCUUGUUACCUAUUCUUUUUUCUUUGUUAUCAGUCUAUUGAGAAACGAUUUGUUACAUAAUCGUGUUAGUGUCGACGAGAAAAUUUUAUGUGUAUUUUCAUCGUAGUACCAACGAGAAUACGAAGAUCUAAAGAAGAUUAACGAUAAGGAACUACAAGUUUCUUUUUGUUCUUUUUUACCGUAAUGAAAACAAGAUCGCUAUAGAAACGGAUCGAAGGAAUGGAAAAGAGAUAUUGGAGAGUCAAGGAUAAUAAAAUAUAAUGAGAUCCAUCAAGCUAUAUUACACAAGCGACUAAUUUAAGUUGAAAUAUUUCCUCGCAAUAACUUGAAGGAAAUAUAUCCGAAGGUGAAAACGAUUUAUUAUGAC